GACGAACGCUGGCGGCGUGCUUAACACAUGCAAGUCGAACGGAAAGGCCCUGCUUUUGUGGGGUGCUCGAGUGGCGAACGGGUGAGUAACACGUGAGUAACCUGCCCUUGACUUUGGUAUAACUUCAGGAAACUGGGGCUAAUACCGGAUAGGAGCUCCUGCUGCAUGGUGGGGGUUGGAAAGUUUCGGCGGUUGGGGAUGGACUCGCGGCUUAUCAGCUUGUUGGUGGGGUAGUGGCUUACCAAGGCUUUGACGGGUAGCCGGCCUGAGAGGGUGACCGGCCACAUUGGGACUGAGAUACGGCCCAGACUCAUACGGGAGGCAGCAGUGGGGAAUAUUGCACAAUGGGCGGAAGCCUGAUGCAGCAACGCCGCGUGCGGGAUGACGGCCUUCGGGUUGUAAACCGCUUUCGCAUGUGACGAAGCGUGAGUGACGGUAAUGGGUAAAGAAGCACCGGCUAACUACGU
rnacentral:rRNA from 1 species